UACCCAGGGGCUGACGCCACCCGGUGGAUGGCUCGGCUUGGGCGCCGAAGAAGGGCGCGGCAAGCUGCGAAAUGCCCGGGUUAGGCGCAAGCAGCCGUUGACCCCGGGAUCC
rnacentral:rRNA from 1 species